UACGUAGGGUCCGAGCCGUUGUCCGGAAUUAUUGGGCGUAAAGGGCUCGUAGGCGGUUGGUCACGUCGGGAGUGAAAACUCAGGGCUCAACCCUGAGCGUGCUUCCGAUACGGGCCGACUAGAGGUAUGCAGGGGAGAACGGAAUUCCUGGUGUAGCGGUGGAAUGCGCAGAUAUCAGGAGGAACACCGGUGGCGAAGGCGGUUCUCUGGGCAUUACCUGACGCUGAGGAGCGAAAGCAUGGGGAGCGAACAGG
rnacentral:rRNA from 1 species